rnacentral:sRNA from 1 species
ACGGGCACGGACGCCCGUGGUUCUACGCAGCAACGAUGUUUUAAAGCAAAACUAUUUAUAAAGCUUUAAAACUCGUCGGUUAGUUUUUGCCAUGGACGGCAAAAACUAACCGAGG